rnacentral:pre_miRNA from 1 species
AUGUGGAUUACCUCGGGAUCUUGUUAAAAUGCAGAUUCUGAUUCAGUAAGUCUGGAGUUGGCUGAAGAUUCUUAAUUUCUAACAAGCUUUUAGGUGAUGCUGAU